rnacentral:lncRNA from 1 species
ACCAAAUAAAGUUCUCCCUUUGCUACCUUUGAACUGAAUAUUACCAUAUGUCUCACUUUGCCCAUUGCUUUCCUUUGAGACAUACCCAAUUCUAUAAGAAUUCACAAUUCUUGGGAUCAUGGGGAUGACCAACUACCUCAAGCCCCAUAUCCUCUCUUCUAGGUAAUUGACUUUCGACUGUACUUUCUUUAAUUUUUAUUGUACUUCGAUCUGUUUGGUACAUGUAUAUAGGGAGGCAAAUUAGAUUAAAGGGGCUUGGUAAAAAAGGGGUAAAUCUGGAUUCAUUAGUUAUUUCGACUGUUUUAUUUUGAAUGAUGUAUUAUUUCGCUUCCAUUAUCAAUAAAAAGUAAGUAGUC